GAUGAACGCUGGCGGCGUGCCUAAUACAUGCAAGUCGAGCGAACAGACGAGGAGCUUGCUCCUCUGACGUUAGCGGCGGACGGGUGAGUAACACGUGGAUAACCUACCUAUAAGACAGGGAUAACUUCGGGAAACCGGAGCUAAUACCGGAUAAUAUAUUGAACCGCAUGGUUCAAUAGUGAAAGACGGUUUUGCUGUCACUUAUAGAUGGAUCCGCGCCGCAUUAGCUAGUUGGUAAGGUAACGGCUUACCAAGGCAACGAUGCGUAGCCGACCUGAGAGGGUGAUCGGCCACACUGGAACUGAGACACGGUCCAGACUCCUACGGGAGGCAGCAGUAGGGAAUCUUCCGCAAUGGGCGAAAGCCUGACGGAGCAACGCCGCGUGAGUGAUGAAGGUCUUCGGAUCGUAGAACUCUGUUAUUAGGGAAGAACAAAUGUGUAAGUAACUAUGCACGUCUUGACGGUACCUAAUCAGAAAGCCACGGCUAACUACGUG
rnacentral:rRNA from 1 species